UUUUCCACCGAUCUAUGGCCUAUAUAAAGCCACCACCAUGUCGCAGUUUCGUUUUCCUUAUCCUCCUCUCGAAAUUCUAGAUCAAAGAAUCUUAACUCGUUGUUGUGACCCCCUAAACCACCUCAAAUCGCUUCGGGCUCUACACGAAAGUUGUAGAUCUCGUCGAGAUCUUUCAAUUCCGGCCAAUCUCAUCUCUUUUCGUCCACCAUACACGGAUAAUUUCGCAUCGCAAGGCGUCAGGUCUGACAAAGGGAAUCUUCAAUUAGUUCGUGCUCGUUCCACGAAAUUCAAAUUCAUUUGAUCUAUUUCGAGUCAAUCGGAGCCAAAACGAGUUUCAAAACAAUCUCGAAUCAUCAUGACUUCAACACUUGUACGGAGAGGCACGUAUUUUUGAUUAAGAGAAGUGAACGCGCUUCGACUACCAAAAGGCA